GUCAAGCUACAAAGGGCGCAUGGUGAAUGCCUUGGCAUCAGGAGCCGAUGAAGGACGUGAUAAGCUGCGAUAAGCUUCGGGUAGGCGCACAUAGCCUGAGAUCCGAAGAUCUCCGAAUGAGGAAACUCACAUGGGAAACCCCAUGUAUCAUUAAGUGAAUACAUAGCUUAAUGAAGGUAACCCAGGGAACUGAAACAUCUAAGUACCUGGAGGAAGAGAAAGAAAAAUCGAUUUUCUUAGUAGCGGCGAGCGAAAGGGAAAGAGCCCAAACCGGAAACUUGUUUCCGGGGUUGUGGACAUAACAUAAAAGUGGAGGCUAUUGUAACUGAAGAGAACUGGAAAGUUCCACCGUAGAAGGUAAUAGUCCUGUAAGUGAAACGAGAAGACCACGAGUUAUGAUCCAGAGUACCACGAGACACGUGAAACCUUGUGGGAAGCAGGGAGGACCACCUCCCAAGGCUAAAUACUACCUGAUGACCGAUAGUGAAGCAGUACCGUGAGGGAAAGGUGAAAAGAACCCCGGGAGGGGAGUGAAAUAGAACCUGAAACCGUGUGCCUACAACCGCUCAGAGCCCCUUAUGAGGGUGAUGAGGUGCUUUUUGUAGAACGAGCCAACGAGUUACGGUAUGUAGCAAGGUUAAGUACUUAAGGUACGGAGCCGAAGGGAAACCGAGUCUGAAUAGGGCGACUAGUUGCAUGCCGUAGACCCGAAACCGGGUGACCUAUCCAUGGCCAGGUUGAAGCGAGGGUAAAACCUCGUGGAGGACCGAACCACGUUGCUGUUGAAAAAGCAUGGGAUGAGCUGUGGAUAGCGGAGAAAUUCCAAUCGAACCCGGAGAUAGCUGGUUCUCUCCGAAAUAGCUUUAGGGCUAGCGUCGAGUAUGAGUAGUGGAGGUAGAGCACUGAAUGGGCUAGGGGGCAUAGCGCUUACCGAACCUUAUCAAACUCCGAAUGCCACAUACUUUGAGCUCGGCAGUCAGACUACGAAUGAUAAGAUCCGUGGUCAAAAGGGAAACAGCCCAGAUCGUCAGCUAAGGUCCCAAAGUGUAAGUUAAGUGGGAAAGGAUGUGAGAUUUCUAAGACAACUAGGAUGUUGGCUUAGAAGCAGCCAUUCAUUAAAAGAGUGCGUAAUAGCUCACUAGUCGAGAGAUCUUGCGCCGAAAAUGUAACGGGGCUAAACUUACCACCGAAGCUACGGGCUUGAACUUAGUUCAAGCGGUAGGAGAGCGUCGUAACCGGGCUGAAGUCGUACCGUAAGGAGCGGUGGACUGGUUACGAGUGAGAAUGUUGGCAUCAGUAGCGAGAUGUGGGUGAGAAUCCCACAGGCCGAAAACCUAAGGUUUCCUCAGGAAGGUUCGUCCGCUGAGGGUUAGUCGGGACCUAAGCCGAGGCCGAAAGGCGUAGGUGAUGGACAACUGGUUGAUAUUCCAGUACCACUACCAUCGUUAUUAUCGAUGGCGUGACGCAGGAGGAUAGUGUGUGCUAGCUAUUGGAUGCUAGUCUAAGCGUUUAGGCAGUGAGAGUAGGCAAAUCCGCUCUCAUAAUGCUGAGGCGUGAUGGGGAAGGUUCCACGGAACCGAAGUACAUGAUUCCACGCUGCCAAGAAAAGCGUCUAGAGAGAGAAGUAGUGCCCGUACCGCAAACCGACACAGGUAGGUGAGGAGAGAAUCCUAAGGCCGGCGGAAGAAUUACAGUUAAGGAACUCGGCAAAUUGACCCCGUAAGUUCGCGAGAAGGGGUGCCUACGAGAGUAGGCCGCAGAGAAUAGGCCCAAGCAACUGUUUAGCAAAAACACAGGUCUCUGCUAAAGCGUAAGCUGAUGUAUAGGGGCUGACGCCUGCCCGGUGCUGGAAGGUUAAGGGGAACACUUAGCGCAAGCGAAGGUGUGAACUUAAGCCCCAGUAAACGGCGGCCGUAACUAUAACGGUCCUAAGGUAGCGAAAUUCCUUGUCAGGUAAGUUCUGACCCGCACGAAUGGCGUAAUGACUUGGGCACUGUCUCAACUGUAAAUCCGGCGAAGUUGUAGUGCGAGUGAAGAUGCUCGCUACCCGCGAUUGGACGGAAAGACCCCGUAGAGCUUUACUGUAGCUUAGCAUUGAGUUUUGGUAUUGUCUGUACAGGAUAGGUGGGAGACUAGGAAACCAGGGCGUCAGCCUUGGUGGAGUCAACCUUGGGAUACCACCCUGACAGUACUGAAAUUCUAACUGGCGGCCAUGAAUCUGGUCACAGGACAUUGUUAGGUGGGCAGUUUGACUGGGGCGGUCGCCUCCUAAAAAGUAACGGAGGCGCCCAAAGGUUCCCUCAGAACGGUCGGAAAUCGUUCGAAGAGUGCAAAGGCAGAAGGGAGCCUGACUGCGACACCCACAAGUGGAGCAGGGACGAAAGUCGGGCUUAGUGAUCCGGUGGUACCUCGUGGGAGGGCCAUCGCUCAACGGAUAAAAGCUACCUCGGGGAUAACAGGCUGAUCUCCCCCAAGAGUCCACAUCGACGGGGAGGUUUGGCACCUCGAUGUCGGCUCGUCGCAUCCUGGGGCUGAAGUAGGUCCCAAGGGUUGGGCUGUUCGCCCAUUAAAGCGGCACGCGAGCUGGGUUCAGAACGUCGUGAGACAGUUCGGUCCCUAUCCGUCGCGGGCGUAGGAAAUUUGAGAGGAGCUGUCCUUAGUACGAGAGGACCGGGAUGGACUGACCUCUGGUGUACCAGUUGUUCCGCCAGGAGCACAGCUGGGUAGCUAAGUCGGGAAUGGAUAAACGCUGAAAGCAUCUAAGCGUGAAGCCAACCUCAAGAUGAGAUUUCCCAUAGCGUAAGCUAGUAAGAUCCCUUGAAGAACACAAGGUUGAUAGGUCGGGGGUGUAAGCAUGGUAACAUGUUCAGCUGACCGAUACUAAUAGAUCGAGGGCUUGAC
rnacentral:rRNA from 1 species